rnacentral:rRNA from 1 species
GACGAACGCUGGCGGCGUGCCUAAUACAUGCAAGUCGAACGGUUUAGUUCCAAGAGGCUUGCCUUUUGGAACUAGACAGUGGCGGACGGGUGAGUAACACGUAGGCAACCUACCUGUCAAACCGGGAUAACCUCGGGAAACCGAAGCUAAACCCGAAUAAGCUCCUUUUUCGCAUGAAGGGGGAGUGAAAAGGUGCGACCUGAUGACAGAUGGGCCUGCGGCGCAUUAGCUAGUAGGUAGGGUAACGGCCUACCUAGGCGAUGAUGCGUAGCCGACCUGAGAGGGCGUACGGCCACACUGGGACUGAGAUACGGCCCAGACUCCUACGGGAGGCAGCAGUAGGGAAUCUUCGGCAAUGGGCGAAAGCCUGACCGAGCAACGCCGCGUGAGUGAGGAAGGCCUUCGGGUUGUAAAACUCUGUUGUUUGGGAAGAAGGGAAAGGGUAGGACCCUUUGGUGACGGUACCAAACGAGAAAGCCCCGGCUAACUACGUG